UACGGGGGGAGCAAACGUUGUUCGGAAUCACUGGGCGUAAAGGGCGUGUAGGCGGCUGGAUAAGUGGGAUGUUAAAUCCCCCCGGCUCAACCGGGGACCUGCAUCUCAUACUGUUCAGCUCGAGCACAUCAGAGGAGACUGGAAUUCCCGGUGUAGCGGUGAAAUGCGUAGAUAUCUGGAGGAACACCGGUGGCGAAGGCGGCAUCCUGGACCGGUAGUUGACGCUGAGGCGCGAAAGCCAGGGGAGCAAACGGGG
rnacentral:rRNA from 1 species